rnacentral:rRNA from 1 species
AUUGAACGCUAGCGGGAUGCCUUACACAUGCAAGUCGAACGAGUGGCGGACGGGUGAGUAAUAUAUGGGAACGUGCCCAGUAGCGGGGGAUAACUACUCGAAAGAGUGGCUAAUACCGCAUACCAUCGGAGCGGCCGAUAUCGGAUUAGCUAGUUGGGGGGGUAAAGGCUCACCAAGGCAACGAUCCGUAGCUGGUUUGAGAGGAUGACCAGCCACACUGGGACUGAGACACGGCCCAGACUCCUACGGGAGGCAGCAGUGGGGAAUUUUGGACAAUGGGGGCAACCCUGAUCCAGCCAUCCCGCGUGUAUGAGAAGGCCUUCGGGUUGUAAAGUACUUUUGGCAGGGAGGCGUUAUCUGCAGAAUAAGCACCGGCUAACUACGUGCCAGCAGCCGCGGUAAUUC